rnacentral:misc_RNA from 1 species
AUGCCAGGCUUAUGCUGUGCAUUGCUAUUGCUUAGAUGCAUUGCCACAAACUUUUGAUGAGUCUUUGGUAUGGUUUUGUGAGGAUUGUGAUCCAAAGAUCACAAAAUCAUCCUGUCGGAGACACAGUUCAAGAUAAGGCAGCAAAAAGGGCAAGAAGGAAUGCGCAGGGCUGGUUGGUUUAUCCUAGAAGGCCAAAGAAGGUUCCAAAAGGAGAGCAAAGUUUUCCCGCAAAGCAAGAUUUCAGUUGGCUGAAAUUCCUGGGGAGGAAGAGGCGCAUGAGCCAGAAGGUGCAAUAAAUAACUAUUUAAAAAGCGAUCAGAAUGGAAGAGCUGGGGAAAUAGCAGGAUAGUCUCUGCUAUGAAUUUUGUUAUCUUUCUUCUUUUCUUAAUUGUUGAAUCAUUCCUUAGAGAACUCAUUGUAAUCCUUCUCCAGAUUUCUGGCUCAUUAAUUAAUCACCCUGAAUUGUUCUGCGUAACUCUUUUCUUUCUCUUGUUGUUACUGUUAUCUUCAGUUCGUCCAUUUAUCAGUUCCUUGCUCUCACAUCCUUUAUUGGCGAGCUUAGCCCUUUCCAAGUCAGGGGAAAUGACUUAAAGUUUUGAAAGUGCCAAAGUGAAGAAGAGGAAUCCUGUCAAGAAAUUGAAAAAGAAAUCUAGGACAAAUGUCAAUACUUGCUCAUUGACGUUUUGGAUAUGGAAAAGCCUCCUCUUUUCAACUUCAUAAGGUGCGUAUGUCAGAGAAUAGUGAAAAAGAUGAGGAUUUUGUAGAGACAAAAUGGAAUGAGUGAGUGCAGCUUUGUUGAAGUGGUUGAAUCUCUUGAAAGAAAAAAUUCUCAAAUGGAUCUCGAUGACUUCCAACUGCUUGAGAUGUAUUGCUGGGAGGAACUUGGAAGUUAAUUGUUCUGAAGAUGGGAAGAUAGAUCAGAAACUUGGAAGAUGGAAUGGUCUGGAAGAAGGCUGCUUCAAUGAAGAGGCUGAAAGACUGGAUGUUUUAAAUAAGAGCGCUCCAGUGAAGAGGGUGAAACUCCUAAAACAGAGAACAGUCAGCUGGCUAGGUGCCAAAUGAUGGCCUUUUUUUAUUGUUCUUCAUUUAUUAUUUUUUGCCCAGACAGUGAAAGGUGGUGAUACUGAUUCCAACAAAUAUGCGGUUGAUAUUUCUUCCUAUGAAUGAUAACCAACGGAUCGAUGGUGAG